rnacentral:rRNA from 1 species
UGCAGUCGAGCGGACCUUUCGGGGUCAGCGGCGGACGGGUGAGUAACGCGUGGGAACGUGCCUUCCGGUUCGGAAUAACCCUGGGAAACUAGGGCUAAUACCGGAUACGCCCUUAUGGGGAAAGGUUUACUGCCGGAAGAUCGGCCCGCGUCUGAUUAGCUAGUUGGUGGGGUAACGGCCUACCAAGGCGACGAUCAGUAGCUGGUCUGAGAGGAUGAUCAGCCACACUGGGACUGAGACACGGCCCAGACUCCUACGGGAGGCAGCAGUGGGGAAUAUUGGACAAUGGGCGCAAGCCUGAUCCAGCCAUGCCGCGUGAGUGAUGAAGGCCUUAGGGUUGUAAAGCUCUUUUAUCCGGGACGAUAAUGACGGUACCGGAGGAAUAAGCCCCGGCUAACUUCGUGCCAGCAGCCGCGGUAAUACGAAGGGGGCUAGCGUUGCUCGGAAUCACUGGGCGUAAAGGGCGCGUAGGCGGCGUUUUAAGUCKGGGGUGAAAGCCUGUGGCUCAACCACA